GAGGGCCACACGUACACACUGAAAGCACACUAUACAAGACGGGCAUCUACAUUCACACACAACAUACACAAACACGCAGUAGGCGGGGCUCCAGUCGCCCCGCCCCUCCCCUUCCCAAACACAAUCCAAGGGGAAAAGGUCACGAUGUCCGCAGACCUGUGGCAGAACGCGCUUGGAGGCCGGACACGGACGCGGAGGCCAGAGCCCGGGCUAGUCCUCGAGCGGCGCGACGAACUGAAGGAGACAGUACCAGCAAUAAUGAAGAGAUCAGACCCAGCAGAGGAGUUCCUGGCACAGUGAGAUUGGUACCUACAGGGAGCUUCAAGCACAGUCUUCCUACCACCAGUCUCCAUUUCGACGAAUCAGGGACUCGGAACCUCAAUAUUUUCCAAGAGACCUUUAUCCUGAGCUCCCAGGGCUCCCAAUCUAGAUUCUUCUAAUCCUAACUCUCCAGGAUUUCCCAGGAACUCUAAAUCCCCUGUUUUAGGAGUUCCCAUUAAUUUCAGUGCCCCCAAAACUCUCUAGCCCACCUCCAAUCUCAGACUCUCCUGUCCUGACAUCUCAGCCUCCCCCCACUCCACCAAGAACUCAGAUUCAAAAUGAUGACAGCCAAUUCUAAUAGACUUGUGAUGGAAAGUGCCAUCCGUGUCCAGAGAGAAAACUUUGAAGACUGAAUGUGGAUC